rnacentral:rRNA from 1 species
CGGCGACCGGCGCACGGGUGAGUAACGCGUAUAAACCUUACCUAUCAGGGAGGGGACGACCGGCAAGUCGGACUAAUACCGCAUAAAGCAGGGAUCCCGCAUGGGAAUAUUUGCUAAAGAUUCAUCGUUGAUAGAUAGGCAUGCGUUCCAUUAGGCAGUUGGCGGGGUAACGGCCCACCAAACCGACGAUGGAUAGGGGUUCUGAGAGGAAGGUCCCCCACAUUGGUACUGAGACACGGACCAA